UGUUUGUAGGGUGGUAACUAGCCACGGCCGAAGCCUCACACAAGCCAAAAUUAAAAUUAAAAUUAUUAAAAUUUCCAGCAACGCCAAAUGUCCCUUCAGUGAACAACAGCACCCACAGUGAAAGGGAGCUAAAUUCUAAAUAUUAUAAACCAAGUUAUGUCGACAUGCCUGAGAAACUUGAACAGCCCAAGCGAAGAUCUUCAGAAUUGAGGCCUCAUCAGGCUCUGUCAUUGGUGGAUCCUACUCAGGGCUCUUCGAUGCCGCAACAAAUGUCUGAAGUUGAGCUUUACAACACGGUGCUUUCCAAGAACAAACGGAGGUCCACGGAGAAAAAUAAAUGAUUUUUUUAUAUAAAUAAAGGUAUUUUCAUA
rnacentral:lncRNA from 1 species